rnacentral:snRNA from 1 species
GAGCUCACUUCAGCAGCACAUAUGCUAAAACUGGAACAAUACAGAGAAAAGAUUAGCAUGGCCCCUGCACAGGGAUGACAUACAAAUUCAUGAAGCAUUCCAUAUUAAA